rnacentral:lncRNA from 1 species
GUUCUCGGGGACUGUACCAGGCUCCUGGCCCUUCCAUGUGGGCUUCUCCCCCAUCUCUCCUUCUUGGAUGCCAUGAGUUGAGCAGCUUUCCUCUGCUACACUUUGCAACAUGAUGUUUUUGCCCUGCAAGCAGCCAACCAUGGACUGAAACACCUGGAACCGUUUCCAGAUGAAGUGAUUUGUGCAUUCUGUUGAGGAAACCAAGCAGGGCUGAGGAUGGGUGGUAAUAGCAUUGCAUCUCAUCACCACUCUUACUGGGACAAGAAGCACGAGUGCUUCAACUGUGUAACAAGAUUAACUGCUUCAUCUACUAGUCAAGUGAUCAUAAACGAAAAAGGAAGAAGAACCAACAACAAACAACAAAUACAAAAGAGAAUCCUUUACCUGCCAUCUCACAGUUUAUGGAAAAUGAUGUCUUUCCCAGAACAAGCCCAGAGUUAGAUGAUUAUUAUUAUUUUUUUUUUCUUUUCUGUGCUGGAGCUCUAACUCUGAGCCUGGCACAUGGUCCUGAUGCGCUCUAUCAGUGAGUGACACCCCAGCAGCCCACACCCAUGGAUUCCUGGCUGUACUAUCUUGUCAUGACUCUAAAAUCUCUCUGUCCUGACUUUGCUGGGUGACCUGAGGCCAGCACCUCCUACAUACCUGCCACAGCUGCUGGAGUCGUUUGCUGACACUGGUAUUCUCCGUAGGGAAAGAGAUAUCCCUUCUUAGCAGUGUGAAAGCUUUCCCAGCAGCAGCCGGCAGCCUUCCUCUUUCAUCCACCUGAUUGGAGUGGUGUCACCUAGCCGUGGCUAAAUAAUCAUCAGUGAGGAGGCGGAGACUGCUGGAGUAGCCUACAACUGAUGACAGUUCACCACCAGCUGGAAAUCCAGUCCCACAAGGAUUUAAUCAGGAAAACAGACUCAGCUUUCCAGUGUUUGUUAAAGAGACAGACAUGUGCAGGAAAUUGGUGACACAGUCACGGCAAACUACUGCACUCCAGGGAUGCUCUCACCCAGCCUCCCCAGCAGGGUAUUAAAGAAAAGGGAAUGAUGACUUCUCAUGAAGCCAUUCAGGAACAUCAGAGAAUAUACCUGAAGUGUUUUUAUAUCUUGGCAAAGAUGACUAAGGACAGACAAGGGAUUUCCAAUGUUCUAUAUGAGAUGCGUGUGGACAGAGGUUGAGAAGGAGCUAUAGCCCAC